AGCGAACGCUGGCGGCAGGCCUAACACAUGCAAGUCGAACGAACUCUUCGGAGUUAGUGGCGGACGGGGGGGUAAGACGUGGGAAGGUGCCCUUUGGUUCGGAAUAACUCAGGGAAACUUGUGCUAAUACCGAAUGUGUCCUUCGGGGGAAAGAUUUAUCGCCAUUAGAGGGGCCCGCGUCUGAUUAGCUUGUUGGGGUGGUAACGGCUCACUAAGGCGACGAUCAGUAGCUGGUCAGAGAGGAUGACCAGCCACACCGAGAGUGAGACACGGUCCAGAAUCCUACGGGAGGCGGGAGAGCCUGAUCCAGCGAAAUGGGGUGAAGGCUGACGCAGUCAGGCCGCGAAAAUGAUGUUGGUCGUAAAAAUGUACAAUUCUUUCACCGGGGACGGUAAUGACGGUACCCGAAGAAGAAGCCCCGGCUAACUUCGUG
rnacentral:rRNA from 1 species